GUGGGGAAUAUUGGACAAUGGGCGAAAGCCUGAUCCAGCAAUGCCGCGUGAGUGAUGAAGGCCCUAGGGUUGUAAAGCUCUUUUACCAGGGAUGAUAAUGACAGUACCUGGAGAAUAAGCUCCGGCUAACUCCGUGCCAGCAGCCGCGGUAAUACGGAGGGAGCUAGCGUUGUUCGGAAUUACUGGGCGUAAAGCGCGCGUAGGCGGUUUUUUAAGUCAGAGGUGAAAGCCCGGGGCUCAACCCCGGAAUUGCCUUUGAAACUGGAAAACUUGAAUCUUGGAGAGGUCAGUGGAAUUCCGAGUGUAGAGGUGAAAUUCGUAGAUAUUCGGAAGAACACCAGUGGCGAAGGCGACUGACUGGACAAGUAUUGACGCUGAGGUGCGAAAGCGUGGGGAGCAAACAGGAUUAGAUACCCGUGUAGUCC
rnacentral:rRNA from 1 species